CCUACGGGUGGCAGCAGUGAGGAAUAUUGGUCAAUGGCCGAGAGGCUGAACCAGCCAAGUCGCGUGAGGGAAGACGGCCCUACGGGUUGUAAACCUCUUUUGUCGGGGAGCAAAGCGAACCACGUGUGGUUCAUUGAGAGUACCCGAAGAAAAAGCAUCGGCUAACACCGUGCCAGCAGCCGCGGUAAUACGGAGGAUGCGAGCGUUAUCCGGAUGUAUUGGGUUUAAAGGGUGCGCAGGCGGAGGUGCAAGUCAGCGGUCAAAUUGCGGGGCUCAACCCCGUACUGCCGUUGAAACUGGCAGUCUUGAGUGGGCGAGAAGUAUGCGGAAGGCGUGGGGUAGCGGUGAAAUGCAUAGAUAUCACGCAGAACUCCGAUUGCGAAGGCAGCAUACCGGCGCCCGACUGACGCUGAGGCACGAAAGCGUGGGUAUCGAACAGGAUUAGAUACCCUGGUAGUC
rnacentral:rRNA from 1 species